rnacentral:rRNA from 1 species
GACGAACGCUGGCGGCGUGCCUAAUACAUGCAAGUAGAACGCUGAAGGAGGAGCUUGCUCUUCUGGAUGAGUUGCGAACGGGUGAGUAACGCGUAGGUAACCUGCCUGGUAGCGGGGGAUAACUAUUGGAAACGAUAGCUAAUACCGCAUAACAGUAGAUGUUGCAUGACAUUUACUUAAAAGGUGCAAUUGCAUCACUACCAGAUGGACCUGCGUUGUAUUAGCUAGUUGGUGGGGUAACGGCUCACCAAGGCGACGAUACAUAGCCGACCUGAGAGGGUGAUUGGCCACACUGGGACUGAGACAAGGCCCAGACUCCUACGGGAGGCAGCAGUAGGGAAUCUUCGGCAAUGGACGGAAGUCUGACCGAGCAACGCCGGGGGAGUGAAGAAGGGUUUCGGAUCGUAAAGCUCUGUUGUAAGAGAAGAACGAGUGUGAGAGUGGAAAGUUCACACUGUGACGGUAGCUUAACAGAAAGGGACGGCUAACUACGUG